UGGUACCAAAGAUCUGGCUAUACCUUUUACAAACACCAAAACUAGAUCCCAAAACAGAAGUGGCAUGAGCCACAUAGGGCCCCGAAACGAAAGGGGUCUCAUCGAUCAGCUGAUAGGAAGCAAUGAGGAGCUACGUUCGGUGGAUUAGAGUACCUGUUAUAGAUCCACCUGCAAAAGGGGCAUCAGUACAUUUGAAUUUUAUUAGUAAGUAUGAACAAACCUGUUCCAAGUAAACUCAAGCCAUACACAAGUAGAAAACAGUGAUUGAAGCAACAACCAAUCACGCAUGAAAAGUACAAUCAAGCCAAACAAGUUUUCAAUCUCUCCUGGUCUUCCACCUUCCACAACUCCACACCAAUGAUUUCACAAAUUUGCCAAAAUAUUAUUUCAAGAGUGAUUUCGAUCACUGUUCCGUCCUUAUUACCUCGUCCACCUUAUUACCUUGACCACCCUUGUCACCACAACCCGUACCAUAUAACUUCGUGUUGCACCGCGGAACCUGAUCCUAUCAUAUAGUUCCAAUUCACAAAUAACACAACAACAAUAAACAACGCACAAGGAUUAACAACAAUACUUCUCAAGAGAUAACAACAACAAUAUUACAAGAGUUUUCAUAACCCUCAGUGCUAUUUCCAUCAUGUUCAACAACCCAUAUACAUUUUGCAUCACAUUGGUAAUUGCCUACAACAAGCCAUAGAUAUUGUUACCACAGUUAUUCCAGUUACAUUAUUUACAAUUCCCUUUUUGUCAUUUGUUUCGCAACCCUUAUCGCAUAACAAUCACAAUCAUACCAAUCACAAGAAGUUCAGGAAUCAUCCACGUAUAUAUCUCCUACCAAGCAAUACGCACACCAAACAAGGUAAUUUUACAAGGAUCAAAGUUAGCCAUACAUACCUUUCAUGAGCUUUUCUUUAAUUACGACGAUAUUCCAGAAAUACUAGAAACUUCAAUCUAUUUUUAGACAUAGAAAAAUUGAGCAAAAAUUAGAAAGAUAUUCAUAACUCUAGCUCAUUUGAGCAUUUUAUCAAAUACUAGAUGAGCAUCUUGAUUUCAAAUCCCCUUUUUAAGAUUUCCUUCAUUCCUUAACCCAAUCUUUACUUAUUUAAGCUAAACAUCUCCCCAUAUACUAAGUUGUACAUGCAUGCAUAGAAAAUACUAAUACACCCAAGAAUCAUACCUCAAUAACCCAUCUUAUAAUCCAAACUCGAAAUUGAAAACCUAGGGCAUAGAAUCUUACCUCUUAGAUGAAGAUCUUGUGAUUGAGUUCUUUGAUUCUUGAAGAUUGAUGCAAGGUUUGGAUGAUUUAAAUAUUGGGUUCCUCCUUCUCUCUCUAAAUUGCUCUCACCUCUCACUAAAAUCA
rnacentral:lncRNA from 1 species